AUAAAUGGGAGGGGAAAGUGGUCCUUUCGAGUAGCAGUGUUGAGUUUGCGAGAAUCAAUGUAUACCCUCCAUCCCGUAACAGUUUUGGUAGGAAUCAAUUCAUUCUUCUCAUUUUUCACUACUGUAAUACCUCCCUUUUUCAGCAAAACUUGAACAGGACUAAUCCAUGCACUGUCUGAGAUAGGAUAGAUGAUCCCUGCA
rnacentral:lncRNA from 1 species